rnacentral:rRNA from 1 species
AACGAACGCUGGCGGCAUGCCUAACACAUGCAAGUCGAACGAGACCUCCGGGUCUUGUGGCGCACGGGUGCGUAACGCGUGGGAACCUGCCCUUAGGUUCGGAAUAACUCCCCGAAAGGGGUGCUAAUACCGGAUAAUGUCUUCGGACCAAAGAUUUAUCGCAUUUGGAUGGGCCGGCGUUGGAUUAGCUAGUUGGUAGGGUAAAAGCCUACUAAGGCGACGAUCCAUAGCUGGUCUGAGAGGAUGAUCAGCGACACUGGGACUAAGACACGGCCCAGACUCCUACGGGAGGCGGCAGUGGGGAAUAUUGGACAAUGGGGGGAAGCCUGAUCCAGCAAUGCCGCGUGAGUGAUGAAGGCCUUAGGGUUGUAAAGCUCUUUUACCCGGGAUGAUAAUGACAGUACCGGGAGAAUAAGCUCCGGCUAACUCCGUG